rnacentral:rRNA from 1 species
UACGAAGGGGGCUAGCGUUGUUCGGAAUUACUGGGCGUAAAGCGCACGUAGGCGGAUUGUUAAGUUAGGGGUGAAAUCCCGGGGCUCAACCCCGGAACUGCCUUUAAUACUGGCAAUCUCGAGUCCGAGAGAGGUGAGUGGAAUUCCGAGUGUAGAGGUGAAAUUCGUAGAUAUUCGGAGGAACACCCGUGGCGAAGGCGGCUCUCUGGGACGGUACUGACGCUGAGACGCGAAAGCGUGGGGAGCGAACAGG